rnacentral:rRNA from 1 species
GACGAACGCUGGCGGCAGGCUUAACACAUGCAAGUCGAGCGAGCGGCGGACGGGUGAGUAAUGUCUGGGAAACUGCCUGAUGGAGGGGGAUAACUACUGGAAACGGUAGCUAAUACCGCAUACCAUCAGAUGUGCCCAGAUGGGAUUAGCUAGUAGGUGGGGUAAUGGCUCACCUAGGCGACGAUCCCUAGCUGGUCUGAGAGGAUGACCAGUCACACUGGAACUGAGACACGGUCCAGACUCCUACGGGAGGAAGCAGUGGGGAAUAUUGCACAAUGGGCGAAAGGCUGAUGCAGCCAUGCCGCGUGUGUGAAGAAGGCCUUCGGGUUUUAAAGUACUUUCAGCGAGGAGGCGUUACUCGCAGAAGAAGCACCGGCUAACUCCGUGCCAGCAGCCGCGGUAAUAC